rnacentral:rRNA from 1 species
CCUACGGGAGGCAGCAGUGAGGAAUAUUGGUCAAUGGUCGCGAGCCUGAACCAGCCAAGUAGCGUGAAGGAUGAAUGCCCUACGGGUUGUAAACUUCUUUUAUAAAGGAAUAAAGUGAGGCACGUGUGCCCUUUUGUAUGUACUUUAUGAAUAAGGAUCGGCUAACUCCGUGUCAGCAGCCGCGGUAAUACGGAGGAUCCGAGCGUUAUCCGGAUUUAUUGGGUUUAAAGGGAGCGUAGGUGGGUUGUUAAGUCAGUUGGGAAAGUUUGCGGCUCAACCGUAAAAUUGCAAUUGAUACUGGCAGUCUUGAGUAGAGUUGAGGUAGGCGGAAUUCGUGGUGUAGCGGUGAAAUGCUUAGAUAUCGCGAAGAACUCCGAUUGCGAAGGCAGCAUACUAAACUGCCACUGACAUUGAUGCUCGAAAGUGUGGGUAUCAAACAGGAUUAGAUACCCCAGUAGUC